rnacentral:rRNA from 1 species
GACGAACGCUGGCGGCGUGCCUAAUACAUGCAAGUUGAGCGCUGAAGGUUGGUACUUGUACCAACUGGAUGAGCAGCGAACGGGUGAGUAACGCGUGGGGAAUCUGCCUUUGAGCGGGGGACAACAUUUGGAAACGAAUGCUAAUACCGCAUAAAAACUUUAAACACAAGUUUUAAGUUUGAAAGAUGCAAUUGCAUCACUCAAAGAUGAUCCCGCGUUGUAUUAGCUAGUUGGUGAGGUAAAGGCUCACCAAGGCGAUGAUACAUAGCCGACCUGAGAGGGUGAUCGGCCACAUUGGGACUGAGACACGGCCCAAACUCCUACGGGAGGCAGCAGUAGGGAAUCUUCGGCAAUAGACGAAAGUCUGACCGAGCAACGCCGCGUGAGUGAAGAAGGUUUUCGGACCGUAAAACUCUGUUGGUAGAGAAGAACGUUGGUGAGAGUGGAAAGCUCAUCAAGUGACGGUAACUACCCAGAAAGGGACGGCUAACUACGUG